UAACACUAACUGGAGGACCGAACCGACUAAUGUUGAAAAAUUAGCGGAUGACCUGUGGCUGGGGGUGAAAGGCCAAUCAAACCGGGAGAUAGCUGGUUCUCCCCGAAAGCUAUUUAGGUAGCGCCUCGUGAAUUCAUCUCCGGGGGUAGAGCACUGUUUCGGCUAGGGGGCCAUCCCGGCUUACCAACCCGAUGCAAACUGCGAAUACCGGAGAAUGUUAUCACGGGAGACACACGGCGGGUGCUAACGUCCGUCGUGAAGAGGGAAACAACCCAGACCGCCAGCUAAGGUCCCAAAGUCAUGGUUAAGUGGGAAACGAUGUGGGAAGGCCCAGACAGCCAGGAUGUUGGCUUAGAAGCAGCCAUCAUUUAAAGAAAGCGUAAUAGCUCACUGGUCGAGUCGGCCUGCGCGGAAGAUGUAACGGGGCUAAACCAUGCACCGAAGCUGCGGCAGCGACACUGUGUGUUGUUGGGUAGGGGAGCGUUCUGUAAGCCUGCGAAGGUGGCCUGUGAGGGUUGCUGGAGGUAUCAGAAGUGCGAAUGCUGACAUAAGUAACGAUAAAGCGGGUGAAAAGCCCGCUCGCCGGAAGACCAAGGGUUCCUGUCCAACGUUAAUCGGGGCAGGGUGAGUCGACCCCUAAGGCGAGGCCGAAAGGCGUAGUCGAUGGGAAACGGGUUAAUAUUCCCGUACUUGGUGUUACUGCGAAGGGGGGACGGAGAAGGCUAUGUUGGCCGGGCGACGGUU
rnacentral:rRNA from 1 species